AACAGUAAGAGUUAAUGUGCUG
rnacentral:miRNA from 1 species